rnacentral:rRNA from 1 species
UACGUAGGGGGCAAGCGUUGUCCGGAAUUAUUGGGCGUAAAGAGCGCGUAGGCGGUCCGAUAAGUCGGCUGUGAAAGUCAGGGGCUCAACCCUUGAAAGCCGGCCGAUACUGUCGGACUAGAGUCCGGAAGAGGCAAGUGGAAUUCCCGGUGUAGCGGUGAAAUGCGCAGAUAUCAGGAGGAACACCAAUUGCGAAGGCAGCUCGCUGGGACGUUACUGACGCUGAGACGCGAAAGCGUGGGGAGCGAACAGG